rnacentral:rRNA from 1 species
CCUACGGGUGGCAGCAGUGAGGCAUAUUGGUCAAUGGGCGCGAGCCUGAACCAGCCAAGUAGCGUGACGGAUGACUGCCCUACGGGUUGUAAACUUCUUUUAUAAAGGAAUAAAGUGUGGCACGUGUGCCUUUUUGUAUGUCAUUUAUGAAUAAGGAUCGGCUAACUCCGUGCCAGCAGCCGCGGGAAUACGGAGGAUCCGAGCGUUAUCCGGAUUUAUUGGGUUUCAAGGGAGCGUAGAUGGGUUGUUAAGUCAGUUGUGAAAGUUUGCGGCUCAACCGUAAAAUUGCCAUUGAUACUGGCAGCCUUGAGUACAGUAGAGGUAGGCGGAAUUCGUGGUGUAGCGGUGAAAUGCUUAGAUAUCACGAAGAACUACGAUUGCGAAGGCAGCAUACUAAACUGCCACUGACAUUGAGGCUCGAAAGUGUGGGUAUCAAACAGGAUUAGAUACCCCUGUAGUC